rnacentral:rRNA from 1 species
CAKCUCCAAKAGYGUAUAUUAAAGUUGUCGCAGUUAAAAAGCUCGUAGUUGGAUCUAGGGACGCGCAUUUCAAGCGCCCGUGCCAUCGGGUCAAACCGGUGGCUGCGUUGGCGUUGCGGGCUCGGUCCGUCGGUGCCCCACAAAGGGCUAUCGGCGUGUCAACCGGCCCGCCCGUCCCCUCCUUCUGGAUUCCCGUUCCUGCUAUUGAGUUAGUGGGGACGUCACAGGGGGUCCAUCGUCGUGCGGGUCAAACCGUGCGGCGGUGGGUCCCUGGGGCCCAGAUCGUUUACCGUGAAAAAAUUAGAGUGUUCAAAGCAGGCAGAUCCAAUUUUCUGCCACCGAAUACAUUAGCAUGGGAUAAUGGAAUAGGACCCUGUCCUCCUAUUUUCAGUUGGUUUUGGCAGCGCGAGGACUAGGGUAAUGAUUAAUAGGGAUAGUUGGGGGCAUUAAUAUUUAAUUGUCAGAGGUGAAAUUCUUGGAUUUAUGAAAGAUUAACUUCUGCGAAAGCAUCUGCCAAGGAUGUUUUCAUUAAUCAAGAACGAAAGUUAGGGGAUCGAAGACGAUCAGAUACCGUCGUAGUCUUAACCAUAAACGAUGCCGACCAGCGAUUAGGAGACGUUGAAUACAAAACACCACCAUCGGUGCGGUCGUCCUUGGCGUCUCGGUCCUUCACGGGGCCGSGGCGCGCGGGUGGCUUAGCCCGGUGGCACCGGUGAA